ACAGAGGUGGCGAGCGUUGUUCGGAAUUACUGGGCUUAAAGGGCGCGUAGGCGGUGGUGUAAGUCUAGGGUGGAAUGCUACAGCUCAACUGUAGAGCUGCCUUGGAAACUGCAUUACUUGAGUCGGUGAGGGGAAGGUGGAAUUCCAGGUGUAGCGGUGAAAUGCGUAGAUAUCUGGAGGAAGGUCUGUGGCGAAGGCGACCUUCUGGCACUUGACUGACGCUGAGGCGCGAAAGCGUGGGGAGCAAACAG
rnacentral:rRNA from 1 species